AUUGGAAUUAUCUUCCUCCCAAACAUUUUCACCCGAAAAAUUUGCUAUUCUUUCGUUUUCCUGUUAUGGUUAUAGAGAAUUAUUUUUGUUCGAAGCAGAGGAUAACGUGGGAAACCAUUUUUCAUCUUGAGAAUCCUGAGAGCAAGGAUAGUAACAAAUGUGUGGUUAGCGCACUAGGAGGCAACAACAAUGGAACAAGGUACAGUGAAAUGGUUUAACGCAGAAAAAGGUUUUGGAUUCAUCGAACGUGAAGGCGCAGAAGACGUAUUCGUUCACUUCUCCGCUAUUCAAGGCGAAGGUUUCAAAUCCCUUGACGAAGGUCAAAAAGUAACUUUUGACGUAGAAAAAGGCCAACGUGGCCCACAAGCUACUAACGUUCAAAAAGUUUAAUUUUAGACUACAAACAAGCAGACUCUAUUCGUAGAGUCUGUUUUUU
rnacentral:sRNA from 1 species